AGCCCUCGUCCCCUCACUCAUGGGAUAGAAGUGUCGAGGGAAAUGGAUGAUGGUUUUCCUUCCCUCUCUAUGUCUUCUUUUCAUCUCCCACCUCUCUCCGUUGAUCUCAGCCGAUCUCUCCUCUCAUGGCUGCCAUUGGACUGAAUCAUGUGAAAGCGAAUGAGUUGGAGGAUGUGUGGUGCAGCUUAUGUCAUAGCUGAUCUGCAAUGUUCUUCAUGAAGAGUCUGGUUACCUGCUAUGCUUCCUUUUCGAAUCCAUUUUCAUUGUUGCAAACCAGAAAUUUUCGUGGGGUUGCUUUGCCACGGCUGAAAUGCUCUUCUCCUUGUGGUAGUGCAGUUUGUUAUUGAGUUGUGGGAUGUUUUGGAAGCACUGAUGCAUCCAUCAAACUCUAUCCGGUUGAUGAUAGCAGAUGCUCUGCAGAAGAAAUUGUCAGGUGAAAAUGUGUUUAUGUUCAUUACGCUUUUGUUACAAAUCGAUUAUUAUUUCCUCUCAGAGCAUGUUCACAAAUUUAAUGAUUUUUUAACUUAUUAAAAUUCAUCAAAAAUUCGGAGA